rnacentral:rRNA from 1 species
UACGGGGGGGGCAAGCGUUGUUCGGAAUUACUGGGCGUAAAGGGCUCGUAGGCGGCCAACUAAGUCGGAUGUGAAAUCUCGGAGCUCAACUCCGAAAUGGCAUUGGAAACUACCCUGCUAGAGGGUCGGAGGGGGGACUGGAAUACUUGGUGUAGCAGUGAAAUGCGUAGAUAUCAGGAAGAACACCCGUGGCGAAGGCGGCUCUCUGGUACGUGACUGACGCUGAGACGCGAAAGCGUGGGGAGCGAACAGG